AGUGAACGCUGGCGGUAGGCCUAACACAUGCAAGUCGAACGGCAGCACAGUAAGAGCUUGCUCUUACGGGUGGCGAGUGGCGGACGGGUGAGGAAUACAUCGGAAUCUACUUUUUCGUGGGGGAUAACGUAGGGAAACUUACGCUAAUACCGCAUACGACCAACGGGUGAAAGCAGGGGAUCUUCGGACCUUGCGCGAUUGAAUGAGCCGAUGUCGGAUUAGCUAGUUGGCGGGGUAAAGGCCCACCAAGGCGACGAUCCGUAGCUGGUCUGAGAGGAUGAUCAGCCACACUGGAACUGAGACACGGUCCAGACUCCUACGGGAGGCAGCAGUGGGGAAUAUUGGACAAAGGGCGCAAGCCUGAUCCAGCCAUACCGCGUGGGUGAAGAAGGCCUUCGGGUUGUAAAGCCCUUUUGUUGGGAAAGAAAAGCAGCAGGUUAAUACCCCGCUGUUCUGACGGUACCCAAAGAAUAAGCACCGGCUAACUUCGUG
rnacentral:rRNA from 1 species